GGUGCGAAAAGGUUUCUGGAAGCAGCCUCCCCUCAUCUGGGAUGUCAACCCCAAACAGAUCCGGAUUCUAAACCCCUUCUUUAUGGAGAUUGCCGCGGACAAGCUCCUGAGCCUGCCCAUACAACAGCCUCGAAAGAUCAAGCAGAAGCCAACCACGGGUCUGCUAGCCAUCACCUUGGCCCUACACCUCUGCCUCCCACAGGUUGGGGAUUAAAGGCGUGUACUACGACGCCUGACCCCAGCACCAAGACAUUAUUUA
rnacentral:lncRNA from 1 species